CUACAAAGCACGUGCUUUUUACCGCUACUCCAAAGUAAUAUUUAUGUUUCGUAAGGAAUUUGCAGGAUUUUGUAAGUACAUUUUCGUAAAACUCAACCCUGACUGUGUUCAGCAUGCAUUUGAUGUGUCAUUAACAGACCUGCUAAUUAUAGUUUGUAUCUAUAUUAUACAAACAACCAUUUUCAAUAAAACUCCUUUUUAGCAAUGAUCAAAAGAAAGAAGUGCUCAUUCGGACCUAAGCAAAAAAGUGUCUUCAAUGCCGAUCGCCCAUUUAUGAUCUUUUUAAAUUCACUACUUGAAGAUGAACAAGUGCUACUUUUUAGUGGACGAGUUUUGAAACUAUCAAACUUGUAACAGCAUUUUGCAAUAAAUGUUAGUCAUGUUUUGGAAUAUUCUACCAAAAAAAAGCCGCAGGUCUUUACUUUACUAUUUAUUUGCAACCCACACCAAAAACGUGCAUUGCCAGCACACCCCCUUUAGAGAAACAUAUAUGAAUAGGUAUUAUUGAAAUUUGCACACCUUGAGGACAUAACAAGGUAGGCAUGAUCUUGGUAAAGAAGAAGGCCCGCCGUUUGCAACCCAAAGACAAAAUUAUCUUCAAUGCCGAUCACUCAUUUACUAUGUUGUUAAAUUCAAUGCUCGGAGACAAAAAAAUGAUACUUUUCAAUGGACGUGUAUCUGAACCAUCAAUCAUAUAAAUAAUCUUAUAGCCAUGAAACUCAAGAAAGUAGUGAAGAAGCGUCGAUUGCGACCCAAUGACAAAAUUGUCUUCAUUGCCGAUCGUUCAUUUAUUAUGUUUUUAAGUUCAAUGCUCGGACCCAAAAAGAUGAUACUUUUCAAUGGACUACUAUCGAAACCAUCAAUCUUAUUAAUGCCAUGAAAUCUAAUAGGUACUCACUUGUCUUUGUUGUUUCAUUUUAAAUAAAUGCUUCACCAUUCUC